GGCGAGCCCCAUGCCACCCUGGACACACCGAUCUCGUCCGAACUCAGAAGCUAAGCAGGGUCGGGCCCGGUGAGUACUUGGAUGGGAGGCCACCUAGGAGGACCAGGUGCUGUAGGCA
rnacentral:rRNA from 1 species